CUAUCAUAUCAUCUAAUUUUGCUUAACUUUAUCUUCAUUAUAAGGGAGGGUUCCAAGGGAGAGAGAUUUAUUGGGGAAUAAAUUUGGUUUUUAAAAAGAUGCCAAUUAAACACCUAAAAUUUUUUUAAAAAACCUUUAGGACUUACAAAUAAUGACUUUAUUUUUAAUAAUAAAAAAAAAAAAUGGGUGAUUUUUUUGAUGUGAUCUGUGAGUACUUUCUUUUCCAGAGUAGAACAGCACUUGCUCUGAAAGUAGUCUUAGAUAGUUGCCUAAGGCACAUAGAGAUUAAAUGAAUUUCUGAGGUCACAUAAGCAGUAUAUAUAAAAGGCAAGAGAUGACCUGAGAUAUUCUGUCUUUGAAAUAAGCUUUCUACUCACAGCUGUAUCACACCGGAAAAACUGAACCAUCAAUUCCAUCUGAAGUAUGCUGGGGACUAAAAGCUUUCUGACAAAUGGCUGCCUAUGAAGAUUCAGACCAUGGAGGUGGACAGGAUAAAUAAGAAUUCAAGACACAAUGGACCAAGUAAAAAUUCUGAGUUUCAAAGUCUCAGCAGCAGAGAAAUGGAAUCAUGAGGAAAACAUUGGAUUGUUCCAGCCCAGUAAUAAAUAACCCCAGAACCAGGACACUGUGGUCUGCAAGCAAGAGAAUAUUUCUUCCUAUCCAUUCUUACCAAACAUCCUUUUGUAAAAGUUAAUAAUGGUUAAAUGAUACUUGGGAGAUAUUGAAAAUUAUUAAGAAGCUAAGUAGGCCAGGAAAAAUAGCACUGGAUUUUGACUCAAGAAAACCAAACUAUUUGUUUGAUAUUGCAGGCUAUUACCACUAUCCAUUGGAUGCAGCUUCAUGAGUGAUAGUAUUAGAAAACCCCACAAUUCUGCAAGUUUUACUCUAGAACUGCCUCAAAGAGUCCUGUCAGGCUUUAAGAAAUGUUUAGUGAUUGAUUGGCUAUGUAUUCUGGAAACAUGCUCUGCCAGUGUAAAUGGGGUUAUAAGAUGGUAG